rnacentral:misc_RNA from 1 species
AACGUAGGAUCCGAGCGUUAUCCGAAUUUACUGGGCGUAAAGCGCGUGUAGGCGGUUCGGUAAGUUGGAUGUGAAAUCUCCCGGCUCAACUGGGAGAGGUCGUUCAAUACUGUCGGACUAGAGGAUGGUAGAGGGAGGUGGAAUUCCCGGUGUAGUGGUGAAAUGCGUAGAUAUCGGGAGGAACACCUGUGGCGAAAGCGGCCUCCUGGACCAUUCCUGACGCUCAGACGCGAAAGCUAGGGUAGCAAACGGG